GAACGAUAUUUUUAAUAUUUUCUGUUCUACUUUUAGAUUUAGAACUUUUUAAUAGACCGGAGAUGUAGAUAUAAGUUGAGUGCAGAAAAAUUAAAUAAGAAUAGAAGCCUGAUGAGAUCCGUAUUUAGAACGUUAUGUUUUGAUAGUAUAUAAAAAUAAGGAUAAUUUUAUAUAGCUUUCUGUAAACAUAUCGAUUAUCAAAUAUGUCUAUACAAAGUUCAAAUUUUCAGAUUUAUCUCUCAAAAACUCCUAACCAUUUUAAAUAAUACUUCUGCUGUUAACGUCCGUUAGAAAAAUAUAUUAAUCAUGAAUAAAAUACUUAAUCUUGACUAGUGACUUAGAUAAGUUGACCUUUUUAUCCCUCUGAUAUUAUAUACAUUCUUUUCUCAGUCAAAAUCCUAGUUCGGUCAAAAUUCUAUUAAUGAAAACUCUUCUUCCUCUUUUUCUCUCUCCUUCAUGCUAGUUUUAAAUUUGUAACUAGAAUUUUUCCGUCCACAUUCAUCUACGAUACAUGCUGUUCGCUCAUGUCGAGCGCUGGAAAUAAGUAUUAUAUAAGUAAAGGAGAAAGGGGGUAAGAGAAGAGGUAGAAAAGAGCUUGCGACAAUAGUAGAUUAGAUUAGUUUUUAUAGAGGAAGAAGAUGAUCAUUCAAUUUUUUUUUGGAAGGACAUUUAAGUACGAUUCUAAUAAGAGAAACUUUUAGAGGAACAUAUUUGUAAUGACAAAAAUUGACAUUUCACUUAUCUUCUGUUAAAAAAUAAAUACUAAGCUAACGGUGAUAAAUUAGAGGAGCAAAUAAGAAUAUCACCGGAUUUUGAAGGAAUAAAUUUAAAAUUUUGAACUUUAUAGGAAUAUAUCUGCUAUUCGGCUGUAUGAAAAAAAUUUUAUGCAGC
rnacentral:lncRNA from 1 species